rnacentral:ribozyme from 12 species
UUGUUUGGUUUUUUAUUUCGUCGAAUGUCUACAUUGCGUGGGUUCGUGCGUUAAAGUGCCGCUGGGGUCUAUUUUUAAAUUUACAUCUCAUAUAUAUAUAUAUAUAUAUAUAUACUGUGUGUACAAGAGCACUUAAAAGACCGUCA